UACAGAGGGUGCGAGCGUUGUUCGGAUUUACUGGGCGUACAGGGCGCGUAGGCGGUUGGAUAAGCCCUCCGUGAAAUCUCCAGGCUUAACCUGGAAAGUGCAGAGGGGACUGUUCAGCUAGAGGAUGGGAGAGGAGCGCGGAAUUCCCGGUGUAGCGGUGAAAUGCGUAGAGAUCGGGAGGAAGGCCGGUGGCGAAGGCGGCGCUCUGGAACAUUUCUGACGCUGAGGCUCGAAAGCGUGGGGAGCAAACAGG
rnacentral:rRNA from 1 species